rnacentral:rRNA from 1 species
UACGAAGGGGGCUAGCGUUGCUCGGAAUUACUGGGCGUAAAGGGCGCGUAGGCGGCACAGUUAGUCAGGCGUGAAAUUCCUGGGCUCAACCUGGGGAUUGCGCUUGAAACGGCUGAGCUUGAGGACGGAAGAGGGUCGUGGAAUUCCCAGUGUAGAGGUGAAAUUCGUAGAUAUUGGGAAGAACAUCGGUGGCGAAGGCGCUCUGCUGGACCAUAACUGACACUCAGGGACGAAAGCUAGGGGAGCGAACAGG